UGUUUGCAGGAUUGUCACCCAGGGUGAUGAAGAUGCAGAGUUUCUCUUCUAGUAGCAUAACAAGAUCACAGGACCGGAUCCUCACAAGGACCUAUAUGCUGAAGUAUAUGCCCAGUCUUUGUGGACUCUGUGCUGUCCAUAGCAUCUAAAGCGAAAAACGUAGACAUCUGACUCGCCACUCAGGCACUGUCUUGCAGUGAAGGUGGUGACUCUUCAAAGAUCUCUCAAUCACCUAUCUCCUCUUCCGCUUAAAUUUCUGGGCGUGGAUGAAGGCUGAGCUGAAAGUGUUUCUCGUUCUCGGUAAAAUCCCUUCCCGCACACAACGGACAGGAGACGAGAGCGACUUGCCCGAGGUACUGCCAGGGCACCAGAGGCGAAGGAAGGUCAGCCUUCUCUCAGCUUUUGGACCUGUUUAGUGUGUGCCCUUGCCCCAUCAUGGUUUUGGAGACACCCUGGAUGGAGCCCAUAGGAUCCAGGAGAGAGAGACCAUACUGGGAGGUGSCUGAGCAUCUUUUGUAAAGCCAAGCG
rnacentral:lncRNA from 1 species